rnacentral:rRNA from 1 species
AGUAACGGCGAGUGAAGCGGGAAUAGCUCAAAUUUUAAAUCUGGCUGGCGUGGUCGGUCCGAGUUGUAAUUUGAAGAAGCGAUUAUCACGUUUUCGUUCGGGUUCAAGUUCCUUGGAAUAGGACAUCAGAGAGGGUGAGAAUCCCGUCUGUGAUCCGAUCGGUUUCGGUACGAUAACGUUUCUAAGAGUCGAGUUGUUUGGG